UACGAAGGGGGCUAGCGUUGUUCGGAAUUACUGGGCGUAAAGGGCGCGUAGGCGGCCUUCUAAGUCAGACGUGAAAUCCCCCGGCUUAACCUGGGAACUGCGUCUGAUACUGGGAGGCUUGAGUAUGGGAGAGGGAUGUAGAAUUCCAGGUGUAGCGGUGAAAUGCGUAGAUAUCUGGAGGAAUACCGGUGGCGAAGGCGGCAUCCUGGACCGACACUGACGCUGAGGAGCGAAAGCCAGGGGAGCAAACGGG
rnacentral:rRNA from 1 species